rnacentral:rRNA from 1 species
CCUCCGGUGGAUCCCGCGGGACCCGACUGCUAUCAGAGUGGGACUAAGCCAUGCGAGUCAACAUAGCAAUAUGUGGCAUACGGCUCAGUAACACGUAGUCAACAUGCCCAGGGGACGUGGAUAACCUCGGGAAACUGAGGAUAAACCGCGAUAGGUCAUCACUUCUGGAAUGGGUAAUGACUUAAAUCUAUAUGGCCCCUGGAUUGGACUGCGGCCGAUCAGGCUGUUGGUGAGGUAAUGGCCCACCAAACCUGUAACCGGUACGGGCUCUGAGAGGAGGAGCCCGGAGAUGGGCACUGAGACAAGGGCCCAGGCCCUAUGGGGCGCAGCAGGCGCGAAACCUCUGCAAUAGGCGAAAGCUUGACAGGGUUACUCUGAGUGAUUUCCGUUAAGGAGAUCUUUUGGCACCUCUAAAAAUGGUGCAGAAUAAGGGGUGGGCAAGUCUGGUGUCAGCCGCCGCGGUAAUACCAGCACCCCGAGUGGUCGGGACGUUUAUUGGGCCUAAAGCAUCCGUAGCCGGUUCUACAAGUCUUCCGUUAAAUCCACCUGCUUAACAGAUGGGCUGCGGAAGAUACUAUAGAGCUAGGAGGCGGGAGAGGCAAGCGGUACUCGAUGGGUAGGGGUAAAAUCCGUUGAUCCAUUGAAGACCACCAGUGGCGAAGGCGGCUUGCCAGAACGCGCUCGACGGUGAGGGAUGAAAGCUGGGGGAGCAAACCGGAUUAGAUACCCGGGUAGUCCCAGCUGUAAACGAUGCAGACUCGGUGAUGAGUUGGCUUAUUGCUAACUCAGUGCCGCAGGGAAGCCGUUAAGUUUGCCGCCUGGGGAGUACGGUCGCAAGACUGAAACUUAAAGGAAUUGGCGGGGGAGCA